UGAGGAGUACUAUCCAAAAGCCCUCGUCGGUCGACUCUAGCCCAGAUUUAUUUCAUGGAAUUGGAGCAUCACUCGUUGUUUAACCAUCAGAACAUAUCAUAGCGUAUGCAUUAUGCAUAGGCAUCAAUGGAUCCAUGCAAAGGAAUGCCCACAAUAAGAGUUUGUCAAUAUAAAUGGUAGUUGGAAAGGUAUGGUGUCUGGUGAAGUGUAUUUAAAUAUAAGAUGAAAGAAUCCGGAAGAAAACAUUCCAAUCCGGUUAAGGGCAAGGGACCAGCAGCCGAAGAAAGGGUCUACAUCCUUGAACUUGUAAUGUCACCUAGACCAACCUUUACGUUUAUAUGAAGUGGGUCAUUUGCCUUGUAAUAGGCAGGCACUAUAGCCGGCGGAUGGAUGAGGUUGCACGGAGACACAGAAAGUAAUAUGCAGUUACGCUGUAUAGAUUUUAGUAUUUCAUGGCACUUAUAGUAGUUAUAGUACUGCGAUGCAUUCUGUCUGGCUAAGGGACCAAAAUUUGACAAGUCUACCGUUGGUAGUCUUGUCUAUCCAAACAACCAAGUAAACCUAAACCUUGUGCCCUUAUCGUAAAAUCAUGAGAUCACGAAAGAAAACCAUGAAUCCAGUUUUAGAAAUUUAUGCGUGCACAUUCCGAACAACAUCAGCGUGUCUCGCCCUUAAAUUUAUACUUACAAGUUUUAUUAUCAACAUUAAAGCUAGAAAAAUUAUUUUAAAGUAUCAAAGGAUAUAAUGAUGUUUAGAAUAAAAAAUCAUCAUACAUUUUCAAAGGGUAUAAUGUGA